GAUGAACGCUGGCGGCGUGCUUAACACAUGCAAGUCGAACGGUGAACACGGAGCUUGCUCUGUGGGAUCAGUGGCGAACGGGUGAGUAACACGUGAGCAACCUGCCCCUGACUCUGGGAUAAGCGCUGGAAACGGCGUCUAAUACUGGAUAUGUGACGUGUCCGCAUGGUCUGCGUUUGGAAAGAUUUUUCGGUUGGGGAUGGGCUCGCGGCCUAUCAGCUUGUUGGUGAGGUAAUGGCUCACCAAGGCGUCGACGGGUAGCCGGCCUGAGAGGGUGACCGGCCACACUGGGACUGAGACACGGCCCAGACUCCUACGGGAGGCAGCAGUGGGGAAUAUUGCACAAUGGGCGCAAGCCUGAUGCAGCAACGCCGCGUGAGGGAUGACGGCCUUCGGGUUGUAAACCUCUUUUAGCAGGGAAGAAGCGAAAGUGACGGUACCUGCAGAAAAAGCGCCGGCUAACUACGUG
rnacentral:rRNA from 1 species